rnacentral:rRNA from 1 species
GUUAGCGAGUGGACAGGGUCGGGGGUAAUAGGUAUGGGUGAGGGGUUGGGCGGAAUGUGUUGGCGGUAAGGGGGGGUGAGCGGCCUGUUAAGUCAGAUGUGAAAACCCGAGGCUUAACCUAGGGACGGUGUUUGAAACUAACGAGGUAGAGGCGCGAAUAGGGGGGUGGAAUUCCCGGUGUAGCGGUGAAAUGCGCAGAUAUCUGGAAGAACACCAGUGGCGAAGGCGGCACUCUGGGACGGUACUGACGCUGAGACGCGAAAGCGUGGGGAGCGAACAGGAUUAGAUACCCGAGUAGUC